rnacentral:ribozyme from 13 species
UCUUCUUCUUUUUCUUCUUCUUUUUCUUCCCCUUCCUCUUCAUCAUCUGUUUCAAACUCUACAGAUAUCAAUUUCUCUAAAUCUUCCAAGAAAGAGGGAGGCGUGCUAGAAGUUAAACCAGGGAAAGAAGAAGA